rnacentral:lncRNA from 1 species
CUAAGAUGCUCUAAUGGAAGUUAAGGGGUUGGGAUAUGGAAAGAAAUAAUCCCAUUGUACCUUGGGCUUGUCAGACUUCAUUUGCAAGACUGCGUCUAAUUCCAGGUACCAAAAAUUAAUGACAGAAUGGUAGGGGAUCUGGAGACCUCAUCCAUGAAGUUAGGAUAGAGAAACAGAGAGCGUCCAUCCAGAGAAAAGAAAGCUCAGAGGGAACAGGAUGGGUUAGCUAGAUGUCAGGUUUGGGGCUGCCCUAAACCUGAACUCCUUAGGUUUGGAAAAUUCUUCACUUGGUGAUAAUCAGAUUAUUUUUCCAGUGGUGGUGUGGGGAUGUGAUUCAGGUUUAGCCAGUCAAAAUCUAUGCCCCCCACCAUCCACUGAGGAGUUGAGGGAGGAGAGCAGACACAGUCCAUGGAGUUCCCGCCACCACAGGGCAAGCAGGCAGCCUGCAGCAGCGGUACCCACAACCCAGCAGAACAGCCAGUAGCAUCUUGAGGGGACAGACUGUCCUCAGCAGGCCAGGUCCAAGUGUGACUGCAUUGAUGAGCCUGGGUUGUGGCCUCUACUGCUUUGCUGGUCUUCAUUUUGGCCCUAAAGAUUUCCCUACUUUAUGUAAUUAGUUUCUUCUUCAUUAAAUCAGCCAGAGUUUGUUUCUAUUGUUUGAAACUGGAAACUCUAAUUGAUACACAUUAUUUUUUUUAUCAUUCAGAGACAAUAUGAGUAUUAAUGGUAGCACCUGAAUAUUAAUGGUAGUCCCUUGGCCUUUAUGCUUGAAAGGCAUCCAAAUAAGCUGCGUAGAGAGAGCACCAUUCAUUCAUUCAUUCAUUCAACAAACACCUCCUGAGUGUGUCCUACAAUCAGGCAGACACUGGGUGACAGCAGAGUCAGAGGCAGGGUGGACAGGGAGUGAGUGGAGUUUGGCUCUGGGGCACAGAAAUCCCCGUGGGACUGAUUUAACCAAGUGACAUCACUUCUCUGGGCCAGAGCUAUGUUUUCUGCAGACUAGAAGAUGGAAAUGUCUCACCUCCUUAGAGAUACGAAGCAUUUGAAAUCUCUGAGAUUGAAUAACAUAUUGGAAGAAAAAAACUUCUUUUUGCCUUGUUAUUGGUAGGUAUGAUAGUUAAGUUUAGGUGUCUAUUUGGAUUGAGGAAUACCUAGAGA